UAUUCUGCCCCAUGGGGAAGGAUGAGAAGGUUCGACUCGAGCGAAGCGAGAGAACGUUGCCGCAGGCAACGGCCCGAAGGGCGAAGCGCUUUAGCGCCGAGUAAUCCUUCCCCCACCACUG
rnacentral:sRNA from 1 species